rnacentral:snRNA from 1 species
AUCACUUCUCGGCCUUUUGGCUAAGAUCAAGUGUAGUAUUUGUUCUUAUCAGUUUAAUAUCUGAUACGUCCUCUAUCCAAAUGAAUUUAAAUGAAUUCAUAUCACAA